CCCCGGAGGCCGACUGGACCCCCGGAGGCGUGGACCAGAGGCUGAGGCUGGAAGGACCAGGUUGGACCAGGAACCGAAGCUGGAGACCAGAGAAAUGCCACACGGGAUCGGACCAGAGGGAACCUCAGAUGCAGAAGGUGUCGAGUGUGGCAGCUACACCUGGGAUUCCUGGCUGACGGAGGAGUCGUGCUGGAGGAGGUCCUGCCUGGUGGAGGCGGUCCAUCGUGGGGCAGAUGGAGCCUGACUCUAACGCCAGGACUCUGUGGCGUGGAGGAGCUGGGACUCCUGAGGACAGCCAGGACUCCACCAACAAGGAUUCCUCGACAUGAGCUGGACCAGAGGACCGCUGGUGGGGAGCCGUAGAUCUGGAGGAAGACCAUGACUCUACCAGCAAGUAUUCCAUAGGAAUU